GAGAGGAGAGAGGGGAGGAGUGGAGGGGGAGGGGAGGGAGAGCAGGCAGGGGACCCCGGGGCCUGCCGCCACCCCAGGCUGGCGCCCCUGCCCUGCCCAGCUGAUCAUCAUAUUGUUCCAGAGUGAUGCCCAUCCUUGCUUUAUGCCAAUUGAUCCAUGCCUCUGCCGAGAAGAGGAAAGAGGUUCGGGCAGGGCGUUAAUAUUAAUCAACACCGGCCUCUCUCCAAAGGACAGCGGGGAAGCAGAAACAAAAGAAGGAGGUUUGCUGAACAGCCCAGAAUAUUACAGCGGGAGAAGCAAUCAGUUAAUGGGACUGGAUGCCAAUGAGCCUCCCCAAUAUUCUGAUUUCCCGGGAGAAACUCGGGUGUGGGGACGAGACAGGCUGCUUGCUUGUGCGCGCCUUGCCGGACUGGUUCUGUUCGUUCUGAGAAGAGACUCGUCCAAGUGACCAUCCGGUCCACGUGGUCCCCGAAGGUCCAGGAGGAAGCUGGUCUGCCGGCGACUGUGUCAAUCAUGGCUCCACGUGCCUGCCACCACGCGCCUCGCUUAGAGACCCAUAUGGACCUUCCCGUCAGGCUGGGACAGACUUAAAUUAUGACACUUUUCAUCUUGAUUGACAAUAACCUUCCCCUGGAAGUUGGGGAACAGCCCAGCUACAAUUACGUCUUGUACAAUAAAAUGAAGGAAAUAAUUUUAUGAUUCAUUAUUUUAUGAAUAUGGUCUCUGGCAGUUGGCUAAGGAGAUAAUCUUCAUUCCCACUGCUCCUGCGUUUUAUUAUUUUAUUAAGAGUUAACUCUCGAUUAUCCACAUGUGAGCCACAGAGACGAUUUUAUUCCCACAGCUGUUAGGUCUUAUUAUUUUAUUAUUAUCGGUUUGGGUUUGUCCCCGGGCUCCGUUCCGGGUGUGAAAAAGAAUCACGGUUUCUCAUUCUGAAUUACGUGCAGUAAAUGUUUAUAAUCUCACUGCCACCUCUCCCUUCUUCUGGGGUGGGUGGCUAUUUUUUUUUUUUUUUUAUUGCGGUAAAAGACACAUUACGCAAAAUUACCAUGUUGACGAUUUAAAAUACCGUGCAGUGGUAUUUAGUACGCUCAUGAUGUUGUUGCACAACCAUCACCUCUACCUAGGUCCCAAACGUUUUCACCCCCCGAAGAGGAAACCCCGCGAUAAAGGGGUCCCCCUCCAGCCCCGGCAACCAGGAAUCUGCCUUCUGUCUCCAUAGAUUUCUCCCACUCUAGACACUUCAUGCAAAUGGAAUCGUACAACAGGGGCCAUUACUGCCCAUAAUGGAGCCAAGGUCCAUCCAUGUGGCCGCAGGGACCAGAACUCCGCUCUUCUCCGUGGCCGAAACAACACUCCAGUGUGUGGACUGGCCGCACUCUGCUUAUCCAUUCUUUCGUGGAUGGACCUUUGGGGCGUUUCCAUCUUUGGCCGUUGUCCAUGGUGCUGCUGUGGACACCCGUUUUCAAUUCUUUUCAACUGGUUUCGCCAGCGGCCGUACCCCCUUUUCAGUCCCCGGCAUCAGGUGUGAGGGCUCCAGUUCUCCAGGAUGUUUCUUCCAGCCGGCCUUCGUUGUGUCAAUGGAAAAAACCAGUAUUUUCAAGGUAGAGGCAUCGGCCAGAAGUGCUGAGGACUGAUGCCCCGGAAGCAGCCCUCCACCCAGGGUCAGGCUCCAGGACGGGUCUCUCUGUCUCCCGGAACUUGCUGCUGGAGCUCUGUUCGCCCUCGGUGACAAUCGUGACAAUCGUAUGAAUGAGAUUUUCACCUCCUGAACGGGCUCGGUCCCGCAGUGGACGCCAGCAGGUCCUCGGUCCUCGUGGUUGUGAACACGGACAGAAGCGGUUUGCAGUCAUCAGUCUGUUUUGGGGAGCUGCCUCCCAUGGGGAGAAGCAAAGUGGAGGCAAAUAUGGAGGCAGCUUCAUUUUAGCACGCUGUUCUUAUCCUGUUAACGGGGAUCAGCAGGGCGCGUGAUGCAAAAUCCCAGGGCUUCCAGACCUUACCCUCUUAGCAGGCUCCCCUGACUCCAGUCUUUACUAGAUUUUCUUCCCAUGAGAACUCAGUUUCCCCAGGACCAGAGCAACACAAUGGAAGCAGAGAAACAAACGAAGAUCAAGUUUCUACCUGCGCUGCCUUCCCGCCUAAAUCCUCGAGUGCGGGAGAACUUGGAGCCCCUGCCUCCCAGACCCCGUCGUCCCAUCGCUAUGUGUUGGCAUCUUUCCCAGGGAGACAGAGAAAGAGGUGCUCCUGGUGCUCCGGCUGACCUCCGCCCUGGGGCUGCCCCCUGCUCCGCCCACCGGCCCGUCAUCUCUCAGCCCUGCCGGCCCCCACCCCUCACCAUUGCCCCCUGGCCAGCAGGCAAGGCGUGCGGUGUGUGUUUGGAGGAGGAGAGAAAUCGCGUGUAGGGUCGGGUCAGGAAGUGCGUGGAGGGACUCUAAAAUGCGUAGACUCUUGCCCGUUCUGAGAGGUCCCGCUUCGGAUGCCUCUUAAAACCCAGGAAUCCAGGCUCCUGCCCGCUGACCCUCCGGAGGGUCCAAGGCCGCACCCGCCCUGGCUGUUCGCAGCUGGCCUCUCCCGGGCCAGAGUGCCCGUGCUGCUGGGACUAUGACGUUCCGGACUGCGGGGCUGAAUUUUUCUCCGCACUUGCCCUGAGUUCUUUGUAAUAAUAGCUGCUCCUGGGCCAUCACCUUCUCCAUCGGAGAGACCCAUCAAAUGAACCAGCCGAGCCCAUAAAUUAUAGCACAAACCGUUCCAAACAAUAAAGGCAAUUUUACUUACUGAA